GCUUUGGUGGCCCAGUGGUUAGGGCAUCUGCUUUGGAUGCAGGAGGUUGAGGGUUCAAUCCCUGGUCAAGUCA